rnacentral:rRNA from 1 species
GACGAACGCUGGCGGCGUGCUUAACACGUGCAAGUCGAACGGUAAGGCCCUUCGGGGUACACGAGUGGCGAACGGGUGAGUAACACGUGGGUGAUCUGCCCUGCACUUCGGGAUAAGCCUGGGAAACUGGGUCUAAUACCGGAUAGGACCACUGCCUGCAUGGGUGGUGGUGGAAAGCUUUUGCGGUGUGGGAUGGGCCCGCGGCCUAUCAGCUUGUUGGUGGGGUGAUGGCCUACCAAGGCGACGACGGGUAGCCGGCCUGAGAGGGUGACCGGCCACACUGGGACUGAGAUACGGCCCAGACUCCUACGGGAGGCAGCAGGGGGGAAUAUUACACAAUGGGCGCAAGCCUGAUGCAGCGACGCCGCGUGAGGGAUGACGGCCUUCGGGUUGUAAACCUCUUUCAGCACCGACGAAGCGCAAGUGACGGUAGGUGCAGAAGAAGGACCGGCCAACUACGUGCCAGCCGCCGCCGUAA